GCCAGCGUAGCUCAGCGGUAGAGCAGGGGACUCAUAAGCCCUUGGUCGGAGGUUCGAUUCCUCCCGCUGGCACCA
rnacentral:tRNA from 3 species